AAAUUGAAGAGUUUGAUCAUGGCUCAGAUUGAACGCUGGCGGCAGGCCUAACACAUGCAAGUCGAACGGUAACAGGAAGAAGCUUGCUUCUUUGCUGACGAGUGGCGGACGGGUGAGUAAUGUCUGGGAAACUGCCUGAUGGAGGGGGAUAACUACUGGAAACGGUAGCUAAUACCGCAUAACGUCGCAAGACCAAAGAGGGGGACCUUCGGGCCUCUUGCCAUCGGAUGUGCCCAGAUGGGAUUAGCUAGUAGGUGGGGUAACGGCUCACCUAGGCGACGAUCCCUAGCUGGUCUGAGAGGAUGACCAGCCACACUGGAACUGAGACACGGUCCAGACUCCUACGGGAGGCAGCAGUGGGGAAUAUUGCACAAUGGGCGCAAGCCUGAUGCAGCCAUGCCGCGUGUAUGAAGAAGGCCUUCGGGUUGUAAAGUACUUUCAGCGGGGAGGAAGGGAGUAAAGUUAAUACCUUUGCUCAUUGACGUUACCCGCAGAAGAAGCACCGGCUAACUCCGUGCCAGCAGCCGCGGUAAUACGGAGGGUGCAAGCGUUAAUCGGAAUUACUGGGCGUAAAGCGCACGCAGGCGGUUUGUUAAGUCAGAUGUGAAAUCCCCGGGCUCAACCUGGGAACUGCAUCUGAUACUGGCAAGCUUGAGUCUCGUAGAGGGGGGUAGAAUUCCAGGUGUAGCGGUGAAAUGCGUAGAGAUCUGGAGGAAUACCGGUGGCGAAGGCGGCCCCCUGGACGAAGACUGACGCUCAGGUGCGAAAGCGUGGGGAGCAAACAGGAUUAGAUACCCUGGUAGUCCACGCCGUAAACGAUGUCGACUUGGAGGUUGUGCCCUUGAGGCGUGGCUUCCGGAGCUAACGCGUUAAGUCGACCGCCUGGGGAGUACGGCCGCAAGGUUAAAACUCAAAUGAAUUGACGGGGGCCCGCACAAGCGGUGGAGCAUGUGGUUUAAUUCGAUGCAACGCGAAGAACCUUACCUGGUCUUGACAUCCACGGAAGUUUUCAGAGAUGAGAAUGUGCCUUCGGGAACCGUGAGACAGGUGCUGCAUGGCUGUCGUCAGCUCGUGUUGUGAAAUGUUGGGUUAAGUCCCGCAACGAGCGCAACCCUUAUCCUUUGUUGCCAGCGGUCCGGCCGGGAACUCAAAGGAGACUGCCAGUGAUAAACUGGAGGAAGGUGGGGAUGACGUCAAGUCAUCAUGGCCCUUACGACCAGGCUACACACGUGCUACAAUGGCGCAUACAAAGAGAAGCGACCUCGCGAGAGCAAGCGGACCUCAUAAAGUGCGUCGUAGUCCGGAUUGGAGUCUGCAACUCGACUCCAUGAAGUCGGAAUCGCUAGUAAUCGUGGAUCAGAAUGCCACGGUGAAUACGUUCCCGGGCCUUGUACACACCGCCCGUCACACCAUGGGAGUGGGUUGCAAAAGAAGUAGGUAGCUUAACCUUCGGGAGGGCGCUUACCACUUUGUGAUUCAUGACUGGGGUGAAGUCGUAACAAGGUAACCGUAGGGGAACCUGCGGUUGGAUCACCUCCUUACCUUAAAGAAGC
rnacentral:rRNA from 1 species